GUCAAUCCAGUCGCUAGUCAAUCCCUCGCACAGCCUUCAUCGUUGUCCGUUAUUAUCCUCCUCAAUCACCUCGCACAGCCGCCGCCGCCGCCGACCCGACCCUCGACCGUGGCGACGACGGCGUCCCUCCUGUCGGUCGCGCCGCCGCUGCCCCAAAUCGUCACACAGCCGCAGCUGCCUAUACUUUUUCUCGCCCCUCCCCUAAUCCAGUUUCCGUCCAAAGCCGCCACCGCAAACAAGGGAUCCCACCGGACCUCUCCGCCGCCGCAAUCAAGUGAUCCCGCCGGACCUCGCCGCCGCCGCCAUCAAGGGAUCCCGCCGGACCUCGUCGCCGCCGCAAUCAAGGGAUCCCGCUGGAUUGCCGCCAGGUUUCUGGCCCGCCGCCAGGAGCCGCAGGAACUGCAUGCCAUCAGGCACGGCGUGCCGAGCCCGCCGAAGCCUCCUCUGCCCCACCGCCCCUGCAGCGCAUCCCUCCGUCGAGCAUCCGGUCAUGCCGAGCAACGCCGCGGACCAGUCCGUAGGCAGGUAGCCACCCUUCCUCCACCCACUUCCGUGACCCCCUCCCAUUACCUUCCCAUCACACUAGAUUGAGAAAACUGUUGUUAAUUCCACGGUUAGAAGGCAAAAGCCUGUAAUACCUUAUCUUCAGUUGAAUGUAACGUCAGCUGCACUCAAGGCGAAAAUGGUACUGUACUAACUAAACAUUUUGCUGGCUUCUCUGAUUAUUUUGCGUCUUUGUCUAGCUGGUUGUUUUGCAUAUGGGAGUAUAAUUUUCUUCCAGGAUGGUGUUCCUUCCUUUAGCUGCAAAUUUAAACCAAUUGCUAUGCAACCUAGGCUUUGAGCCAGCUCAUAUUUAGUCAGUCUCGUUAGUGCAACAAUCAUGAAGUNNNNNNNNNNNNNNNNNNNNNNNNNNNNNNNNNNNNNNNNNNNNNNNNNNNNNNNNNNNNNNNNNNNNNNNNNNNNNNNNNNNNNNNNNNNNNNNNNNNNNNNNNNNNNNNNNNNNNNNNNNNNNNNNNNNNNNNNNNNNNNNNNNNNNNNNNNNNNNNNNNNNNNNNNNNNNNNNNNNNNNNNNNNNNNNNNNNNNNNNNNNNNNNNNNNNNNNNNNNNNNNNNNNNNNNNNNNNNNNNNNNNNNNNNNNNNNNNNNNNNNNNNNNNNNNNNNNNNNNNNNNNNNNNNNNNNNNNNNNNNNNNNNNNNNNNNNNNNNNNNNNNNNNNAAUUCCUGGUUCUGCAGUUAGGCAAUUACCACAUGCUUUCCUGCAGUGAAGCAUCUGCUGUUAUGAUAUGCAGGCAUGAGUACCAGAAGGUGGCUACCAUUGUUUGUAGGAUUAAGGAAAUGAUUUGGAUGAGGGCCAUGGGCUUAGUCAGAGUAGUUCAGGAUGAUGGGAGCUGAAUCUGUAUUUAGUUUGUUUUUGUUUUGCACAUCGGUAGGCAAAGCCUAGUGUUUGUUUGGCUUCAGUCAUGUCCUUGGUUACAGUAGCGUGAAUCUGCAAGUUAAAGAUCAGACAUUUACUAAAACUGAACCAAGGAAAUUUGGAUUUCAUAGUUACAGUUGCAGGAAAUGGUCAUAUUAUGACUGAAAUAUAUUUAAAAUGUCUAUUUAGUUCUGUUUUCAGAUAUAACCUUGUAAGUAGAAACAUGUAUAACUCAAACAACCAUACAUCUAGUUAAUUUUGCACAGGCAGCAAUGUUAAGUCUUACUACGAACCUAGCAAUAAAAAUGAUGAAGCUCCUGUCAAUUUUUCGAAUAACUAGCUUGAGACAAUAUUCUCUCUUCUCUAAUGGAAAUGACAGAGCUCCUGUCAAUUUUUUGAAAAAAAGUUGUUUUUCAGACUCAUCUAUCUCAGACAAAAUGAAGACUUGAAUGGUAGUGAGAGAGCUGCAAUUAUUUAACUUCAUAUCUUGGCUUACAUGCUUGUUCUUCCAUAAUGCAGUGAAUAUGUAAAUCUGUACUAAACCAUUGAGUUUUGCUGUGUUGAGCAUACCUGCUUGUUGUUCAUUCCUUAUCCCCUUGUAUGCAGGAUCUAUCUGGCCGACCUCAUUUGAGCUGCGGCUUAAGUAUUCCUACUGCAUGGGUUUGCACAUAUGAUACAUAGGUAUUGUGAAAUUUCGCAGUUUGUCAGGACCCCGACUCAAUGCCACAUCGAUCUAGCAUGUAACACCUCAUAUCACUUUGCGGCCUCACGCACGGUAUUCCCACGGGUGUCGCCUUACCUUAGCCCGGGACCGUUUGCGCCUUUUGGCACACGUAUAUGACAGUGUCGCUAGCAUCCAUAUGAUAAGGAGCCCGGGCUGACAUGGCUAGUCGUAAACCCAAAGUGGCACAGACUUACAGGGACAGGCAUCCAUGACCCAGCAUCGAACGUGUCGGUUAUCAGCGAGUGAAUCCAGGCUGUAGCACUGGGCUAGCAGGACUCCGGUGAACCGGGCUGUAGCAGGCUAACAGGACUCCGGUAUUCAUCGCGUGACAUUUCCCCGAAGGGACAGACACAGGAACGAAGAAGGACACAUGCCGGCCGGCCUAAGUGUUCCGGAGCAGUAGCAAGCUACCAUGGCUCCGUGGAAACACUAGGAGAUAUUUCCCCGUAAGAGAGGCUACUAAAGAUAAACAUCUAGAUGGUCAGAUCCCACACAUACCAAGCAUUUCAAUAACAUACACACAAUAUGCUCGAUAUGUGCAAAUACAACAUGGCAUCACAACAUGACUCUAUGACUCAAGUAAUUUAUUCAGUAGGCUCCGAGGAGCGAGAUAUUACAAACAUGGGUCUCAUGACCCAACAAUCAGAGCAUACAAAUCAAAGCACAAGCGGAAGCUAUCAUGUCUGAGUACAGACAUCUAUAAAUGAAAAAGGCUUGAAAGCCUGACUAUCUAUCAGAUCCUGCCGAGGGCACAAGAUCGUAGCUGAGGUAACAAGCUAAACGUCGAAGUCCACGCGAAACUACUAGUGAGACCGAAGUCUCUCUGCAAAAACAUAAAAUAGGCCAACGUGAGUACAAAUGUACCCAGCAAGACUUACAUCAGAACUAACUACAUAUGCAUCAUUAUCAACAAAGGGGAUGGUGGGGUUUAACUGCAGCAAGCCAGCUUUGACUCGGUGGCUAUCCUAAACUACGACUGCAAUGUAACUCUUUUGAGGUGGCUCACACGAGUCCACAUAUUCACCAACCAAUACACCACUAUGGAACCGCUCCCGUCUCCCUACGAGAAUGCCAUUCAUAGCACUCACGCUUAUCUUGCGUAUUUUAGAGUAUCCACUUUCACUUGUCUAUGAACUGAUAUAAGCAACCCAGAAGUCCUUUUUCGCGGACACGGCUAUUCGAAUAGAUGAUGUUAACCCUGCAGGGGUGUACUUCUUCAUACAUGUUUCCAGCACUUAGCGUCUGCACACGACAUGUGCUCGGCAGACUUCAAGCGAAAGCCGACGUGGGUGUAGACCACGACCUACCUAAACACUCAAGUCUCUAGUCCAGGUUUAUCGCCUAUUCGGGUUCCAUCCAUGAGGAGAUCCGGCCGGAGUUUCGCUCACAGCCCCAAACGAUGUGAACAGGGUUCCGUGACACCAAACGGGCGCCCGGUAUACCCGGCCACGUGCCUACCGCAUCACAGCCCACCCCUCCGGUCAGCACUGUCCACGGCCUCCAGCAUACUACAAACACCAGAAACUACUUGCAACUCCUGGACAGAGGACGAGGGUGAAUAAGAAGUCGAGCGGGGUCAUAUUUCAGGGCCCAAUAUAUGGUAGUAGCUGAAUCAUGGAUCACAAACACAGAACUCAGUUCCUAAGGACGGCUUCAAUGAGACAACCCACCAUGUACUCCUACAUGGCCUCUCACCGACACCUUUUACCAAAUCGUGUUCACACACUUAGCUCACACACAGUAGGACAUGUUCACACACCCCUGAUUCAUCCCGGAUAAAUCAGACCUGACACAACUCUAAGCAGUAGCAGGCAUGACAAACAAGCAAGAAUGAGUAGGCACAACAGGGCUCAAACAACUCCUACUCAUGCUAGUGGGUUUCAUCUAUUUACUGUGGAAUGACAGGUCAUGCAGAGGAUAAAGGGGUUCAGCUACCGCAGCAAGUAACAGUUGAAUCGUUGUUGUCCUAAUGCAGUAAAAGAGAGCAGGGGCGAGAGAGUAGGAUUGUAUCGGAAUGAACAAGGGGGUUUUGCUUGCCUGGCACUUCUGAAGAUAACAUUGGGUCUUCAUCAGUGUCAACGAUCACAUCGUCGGUAUCACGUCUAUCGAGAGGGAACAGAUACCGGCAACAAAGAAGAAAUACAAUCAAUGCAAUGCACAAUAUGAUGCAUGCUCAUGACAUGGCAAUAUGAAUGUGUUUUGAGCUAAUGCAACUAGCAACAGAUUAAAUGAAGUUGGUUUGAAUACAAGAUUCAAAUUCAAACUCCAUAUGUGAUUAUUCAAAUGUCAUUUAAUUGAUUUGUGCUAAACAGCAGCUAUAAGCUGUUCUAACAUGCAUGAAAAUGGUACAGAUGGAAUCCUUGAAUUUUUCUGAUAAUUUUUCAUAUAUAAAUUAUUUAAUUUGGAGUUACGGUUGAAUUUCUAUGAUUUUUAGAAGUUUUAGGCAUUUUCUGGAAUUUCCUGAAUAUUAAUAAAUCCAGAAAAUGAUUUAACUGCAUCAGCCUGAAGCCAGCAUGACGUCAGCGAGUCAACGGCCAGGUCCAGGUCAAACCUGACGUGUGGGGUCCACACGUCAGUGACACAGGUUAGACAGGGGGGUUAGUUUAGUUUAAUUAAAGAUUAGGGGCACUAGGGCCCACAUGUCAGUGGCUCUAGGCCUGGGUUAGCGGGGUGGUUAGGCCCUAAUGACCGGCCACGUCAGCUCUCGCCGGAGUUUAGCCGGCGACGACCACAGAGCACGGCAGGGGGACGCCGGACUUGCGCUAGGGGCAUCGGAUCGACGCGCCAAGGGCACCAGGAGGUAGCCCGUGCCCGUGCGCAUCUAGGGGGACCAACGGGAGGUGCGGGGGUGGCCGGGGUUCGCCGCAGUGGAGCCCGAGGCGGCGGCCGGAGCUCGGGGUUGGGGCGAGUUAGUGCUACGGUGCGCAAACGAGCGAGGUGAGAGGCUAGCGGGGCGCUACGCGGUGCGGGGAGCGAGUUAGGCAUGCUAGGGUGACCAAAUGGUCACCGGAGCUACGCCGGCGACGAGCUCAGGCGGCGGCAUGCUACAGCCAGCUAUGAAAUGGCGGCUACGGCGAGCGGCAAGCCACGGGGUUAGGGGCAAAACGUGCAGGAGCUCACGGUGGUUCGGAUGGGGUAGAUGACGAGCUCGGGGAAGCGGAGACGGCGGCGAAUCGACGGUGAAGAUCCUCGGCGGCCGGCGAUGGAAACGGCGAUGGUGGCGGCGUUGCAGCAUGUCCGGGACCUUGUGGCUCGGUGGAGAGAAAGAGGGGGUCGAGGCGGAGCCUUGGAGCGCAUCGGCGAGGCUAGGGGGUGGCGGUGGCCGCGAGGGAGCUCGUCGGUGGCGGCGGCUCCGUUCGGGCGAGUGAGAGAGAGGUCCAGGGGAGAGGAUGAGGACGCGGGAGAGUGAGGGAGAGAGGCAGGGAGGUGCGUGGCGUCUCCGGGGCGUCGAGGAGGAAGCAGAAGGUGGCCAGGGGAAGCAGGAGGUGGCCGAGGCCUCUCGGGCGCGCGCCACGCCUCGCCUCUGCCUACUGGCAGAGGAAGACGACAGGGGGGGAGUGGAGAUGGGCUGGGCCGUGCUGGGCCAGGUAAGUGGGCGCCAGGUAACUUCCUUCUCUCUCUCUUUUAUUUCUUUUCUAUUUCUGUUAUUUUGUUUUUGAUUUGAUUUAAAAUACCAAAUCAUCUAAUAAAAUCCUGGAAACAAUUAUGGGUGCUUUCUGAAUUAUUUCAGUGACCCUUAACAAUUUCCAACAUUUAUUUGAACAUUUAAAUUAUUUAUAGUAUUUAAAUGCCCAAAGUCGAAUACAAUAUGAUUUAAUUCAAAAAUCCAAAAAUGACCUAAGAAUAUAUUCAUCAUUUUUGGCAGAGGUUUCCACCUUAACCAGAAAUCAUGAACUUUUCUUAGGAACCUUUUGGGUUUAUUGAAAAGAUUUUAAUUCACCCUAGUUGAGUUGAUUUAAUGCUAGGGUUUGAACAUCCCCAUUUCAAUUUUAGGCAAAAUUUAAACAUGAUGCAACACAUGACUAGCUAGCUCAGAGCAAACCAGAAGCUAGGGAUGUGACAACUCACCCCCACUAAACAAGAACCUCGUCUCGAGAUUCAAGCGUAGGGUAAGGUGAAGGGGUAGCGCAAACUAGUAUAAUCUUCACGAUCCAGGGUGCACUUCAAUUGAACGUUGAUUCAUUCACCAUCAUUGUCUUGAAGUCUUGCCUUGAGAACUCCAACUAUCAUGACAACGAGAGGAAAGGAAAGACCCUAAAGAAUUGUUCUUCUCGAAGGUCGAACAACUCAGGAUUAACCCACGGAAUGAGACAUAACAACAUCUCUCGAGCUGAGAGACGAAGUACACAUCCAUAGGAAUUGGAGUGAAGCAGAUGACAAAGGUUCACUAGGUAGACAACAAUUCCAGACUCAAGAAUGUGGUAAACGAUUGUCACGUAGCGAGGAGUUGAGUUGCCAUGAUACCAUAAUGAUGCACCUUAGGGAAGGUGACUCGUAGAAAUAUCCCCUUAAGUGGCAAAAAGAAUUACCUUUGAUUCAAAGAUCAUUGAAACUCUUUAAACCAGCCUAAGACAAUUCUCGAGCGAUCGUUUGGAGGGGGUCGGUAGAAUAGCAUACUCGGACUUGGAUGAUGUGGACUACCUUGUUGAAGACAACGCAAUGUAUGAUUUUUGCUUAUCACCGGAAAUGGAAGAGAUCCAUGGUAGAAUGGCACAUUGGCGGUGCAAGCUGGGAACAAAAUGCAAAUGCUGGGAAUGAUUCUAGUAACUGGGGAAGAACCCAACAAUAGAGAGUGAAUUCACUGUUUAAAAAGGUCAUAGCAUUGCCGAGGAAACUAAGAGGAAUCCCAGUUAGUGCCGAUGAUAACACGUAGCGCUUGUGCGUGCUCUCAAGAACUUGAGCAUUUCCAUAAUCAUCAAGAUUUUAUCAACAUCCGUGUCAAGGGUGCUGACAACACAACAUACUACCAUGAUGAAUAGCGAUGGGCGAUGCAGAUGCAAAGGAGGAUAACACUUUCUCAGAUUUCACCUUAGCGAGGCCAAGGAAACAAAAUCUGGAUGAUCGACCGAGAGACAUUUAGCACUCCGCUUCUAAUGUUCUCCUUGAUGUGCUAGUGUAACCCAUUCAUAGAUAUGGUUUGAUAUCUAGAACAUCAAGUAAAAAGGUCGGACUUCGGGAGCACAGGAAUCCAUAAGGAAUAUCUACGGAGGUAAAUCCUACGAAGUCCUCAUGGGGAGGUGGCCAACUUCCUCAAUCAUGAUAUUAUAAUAACAGGUCUUCCGGCUGGGUGUGUUGGCCACGACAUCCACCUUACCGGUUAUCGAGGGACCAAUAUUAUAGUUCUUGGGAAAUGUUCCAACCAUUAUAUCUGCCUGAGAUUCAGAUCUGGUUGGUGUCAGGAUAUUCUAGACUCAUCGAGUCUAGGAAGAAAAAUGAAAGUUUGCAACACAAAUCGACGAGAUGACGUUGCGAGAUUCUCGGGGAGCGAACUACGAUAGCAAGCUCCAAAACAUGAGCCGGUUCUGCUACACACAUGUGAACACGUUGUCCCAGACAAACAUUAUCACAUGGUAGUCUUACAACAAAACACUACCGAGUUCAGGUGGGGAACCAUCAUUAAUGACAUUGAAGUCUCCACGCGUGGAAGUCCAAAGAGUUCACCUUGGACAGACUCCUUUAUCUUUGAACAACUCAAUCAGUGGCUUGGUGUGCUCGGAACACAUAUGGAAUGAAGGUUGCAAGUCUCCAGACCACAGAAUACUUCGCACGUAUGCAUGACUGACUUGGGAUGAUUCCAGAGGAAGCAAAACUAACUUUCUCAAAUCCACGGCGGCAACUUUCACCAAAUGCACGUGUAUAAGAGGAAGUCACUCCUUUCAUCAAACAAAUACUUCAUGAGCUAGCAUGAAGAAAAUGCUUUCAAAAGUUUCCAACACUAGCUUAAUGUUCAACAAAAUCAUGGAGGAGAUAAGGAUGUUGUCAAUGGGCUCAACAACAAUUCUUCCGGGUUUCCCUUUAAAAGGAAUUCCAUAGUUAAGAGAACAAGUGAUAGCAUUGGUCAGACCCAAAAGAUAUAAUGGUGUAUGCUCGAGGGAUCAACCACGAGUAAGACAACAUUACGAAUAUCGUUGGUUCUGGUCUGAUUGGAUGAUAGCCCAUACUCAAAUCAAAGAUGGGGUAAGACAAUAGGUCCAACAACUGAUCACAAGGACCAAUUAAUGAAGAUAUCAUCUUUCUUCAACACACACACAUACACAGAAAGAUAUCCCUUAACAUGAACUAAGUCAGACAGGCUUUUAUCUUCCAACUCUCCAAUUUGUUGUUUGGCUUAACCAACUAGCUCAGGGGCAUCUAACACCGAUUCUUGGAGAGAAAGUGGUUCACAAGAAACCAACUUGAUCACGAGCUCAACGUAACAGUCAGGUGACAGCCUGGUGAUACUUUCGAGAAGAUAUUCGGAAAAUCACGAACCACCGAUAUGUUACUAAGCUCGAGAACAAUCUCGCUUUUGAGGGCAAGACGAUAUGAUCAAAUGAGUGAGGACUUGACAAAAUCCUAACUCAUCAAUCGAAGUGUGCACCAGGAAGAUGGACAAGGUAGCACGAUCAAUCUUAGAAGGAUGAUUCAAAAACCAACACGCUAAGAAUGAAAUUAUUGUCCUUUAACUACCAAGCAACGAGGUUGCUGGGAGUAUUGAUUUCACACACCACGAUUCACUUGUCGGCAUUCCGGUUACAAUAACACAGGAACCGAGGAAUGAACAGUGAUGGCAAGAAGUAUCACUGUACCAAGAGUUCAUGGGAUGGUGUGCAAUUCCUAUAACAAUCCCGAUAUAAAGAUGGUAAUACUCCAAGGUAGAACAGAGCAAAAGCUGAAUUGGCAUUUUGAUCUGCGGAGCACAACUUCUUUGACCCAAUCCUGGAUAUGGAAGAGGUACUGGAGUUUGUUUCUCCUAGUCACUCCGGAAUAGAAUGGCUUGACAGACCACAAGAGUCAUAGGCAUCGAUGAACGAAUGCACACAUAAUCUCGACUAUCAAUUGAUAGACGAGGGUCAGAAGACAACUAAAGAGGGACAACUCAAAGGAACAUACGGUUUUCUGAGUUGUGGAUGCAUAGAUUAGUAUGUCGAGCGAGAUCAACAUUUCUUCCAGAUAACCCAUGCAGAGAGGUAGGACUGGCAGAGUCACGAUUUAUGAAUGGAGAUCUCCUCAAGAGUACUCUAAUUGUGAUAUUUUGAUCCAAUAAACAUCUGCCAUAAGCGGUUCAUAGUAUUUGGAAGAAGGAAAUACCACGGACCUCGAGGACUAUCGCAAAGUUACUAAUAUCCUGAAGGAACUAGCAAACACUAUCAACAUGAAGUAAGUAGAGUGAAUCUCGGGUUCAAAACCCAGAAAUAGAAUGCCUACUAACUAAUAACAUCACGGGAUGCUUUCAAAAAUAAUGGCCAGAAUCAUCACACUGGGGAUACAAAAGCAUUGCUAAAUUGCUAGGUGACUUCCUAAACACCUAAGGUCAUAAUAAUAGCUCCAACAUCUACGCCGAGGUAACAAAGUACCUCAACCUACCGAUUAGUGUGCUUAUUCCGACCAAAAGGGACAUCGGAGACGGAAGGAAAAGAUUUGCAAAUGCAUCAGACUGUUUAGAGACCUGGGAUGACUCGGACAGCAUAACGGCUGUAAAUGCUCAAAAAGAUUUGAGACAAUCACAAAAUGGUGGCAUAACCACUCAACAUCACAGUAUCAAGGUUCCGAGAUCAACAGUAAUCAUACAGAAGUAGUAGGAACUGAAGCGAGGCUUAAGUCCAACAAUCUUAUAAGUCUACAGAUUAGCAACACGUGAUCCUAAUAGAAAGAAGAGAUAGCCUAGUUCUUAAUCCCCAUAGAAGAGAAGAUGAUGACUCAGAUCAGAAGGCCAUGAGGUAUAAGGAGUAAAAAGAGCCUUACGUUCCAUCCCACAAUCAAUUCCCUUAUAUAACUAAGAAUUUCUAGACUCAACUUUGACCAGUUUGGCUUGGUAAUCCUACAGGCAGUCAAGCUCUGAUACCAACGCUGUCAGGACCCCGACUCAAUGCCACAUCGAUCUAGCAUGUAACACCUCAUAUCACUUUGCGGCCUCACGCACGGUAUUCCCACGGGUGUCGCCUUACCUUAGCCCGGGACCGUUUGCGCCUUUUGGCACACGUAUAUGACAGUGUCGCUAGCAUCCAUAUGAUAAGGAGCCCGGGCUGACAUGGCUAGUCGUAAACCCAAAGUGGCACAGACUUACAGGGACAGGCAUCCAUGACCCAGCAUCGAACGUGUCGGUCAUCAGCGAGUGAAUCUAGGCUGUAGCACUGGGCUAGCAGGACUCCGGUGAACCGGGCUGUAGCAGGCUAACAGGACUCCGGUAUCAUCGCGUGACAUUUCCCCGAAGGGACAGACACAGGAACAAAGAAGGACACAUGCCGGCCGGCCUAAGUGUUCCGGAGCAGUAGCAAGCUACCAUGGCUCGGUGGAAACACUAGGAGACAUUUCCCCGUAAGAGAGGCUACUAAAGAUAAACAACUAGAUGGUCAGAUCCCACACAUACCAAGCAUUUCAAUAACAUACACACAAUAUGCUCGAUAUGUGCAAAUACAACAUGGCAUCACAACAUGACUCUAUGACUCAAGUAAUUUAUUCAAUAGGCUCCGAGGAGCGAGAUAUUACAAACAUGGGUCUCAUGACCCAACAAUCAGAGCAUACAAAUCAAAGCACAAGCGGAAGCUAUCAUGUCUGAGUACAGACAUCUAUAAAUGAAAAAGGCUUGAAAGCCUGACUAUCUAUCAGAUCCUGCCGAGGGCACAAGAUCGUAGCUGAGGUAACAAGCUAAACGUCGAAGUCCACGCGAAACUACUAGUGAGACCGAAGUCUCUCUGCAAAAACAUAAAAUAGGCAAACGUGAGUACAAAUGUACCCAGCAAGACUUACAUCAGAACUAACUACAUAUGCAUCAUUAUCAACAAAGGGGAUGGUGGGGUUUAACUGCAGCAAGCCAGCUUUGACUCGGUGGCUAUCCUGAACUACGACUGCAAUGUAACUCUUUUGAGGUGGCGCACACGAGUCCACAUAUUCACCAACCAAUACACCACUAUGAAACCGCUCCCGUCUCCCUACGAGAACGCCAUCCAUAGCACUCACGCUUAUCUUGCGUAUUUUAGAGUAUCCACUUUCACUUGUCUAUGAACUGAUAUAAGCAACCCAGAAGUCCUUUUCAGCGGACACGGCUAUUCGAAUAGAUGAUGUUAACCCUGUAGGGGUGUACUUCUUCAUACAUGUUUCCACCACUUAGCGUCUGCACACGACAUGUGCUCGGCAGACUUCAAGCGAAAGCCGACGUGGGUGUAGACCACGACCUACCUAAACACUCAAGUCUCUAGUCCAGGUUUAUCGUCUAUUCGGGUUCCAUCCAUGAGGAGAUCCGGCCGGAGUUUCGCUCACAGCCCCAAACGAUGUGAACAGGGUUCCGUGACACCAAACGGGCGCCCGGUAUACCCGGCCACGUGCCUACCGCAUCACAGCCCACCCCUCCGGUCAGCGCUGUCCACGGCCUCCAGCAUACUACAAACACCAGAAACUACUUGCAACUCCUGGACAGAGAACGAGGGUGAAUAAGAAGUCGAGCAGGGUCAUAUUUCAGGGCCCAAUGUAUGGUAGUAGCUGAAUCAUGCAUCACAAACAUAGAACUCAGUUCCUAAGGACGGCUUCAAUGAGACAACCCACCAUGUACUCCUACAUGGCCUCUCACCGACACCUUUUACCAAAUUGUGUUCACACACUUAGCUCACACACAGUAGGACAUGUUCAGACACCCCUGAUUCAUCCCGGAUAAAUCAGACCUGACACAACUCUAAGCAGUAGCAGGCAUGACAAACAAGCAAGAAUGAGUAGGCACAACAGGGCUCAAACAACUCCUACUCAUGCUAGUGGGUUUCAUCUAUUUACCGUGGAAUGACAGGUCAUGCAGAGGAUAAAGGGGUUCAGCUACCGCAGCAAAUAACAGUUGAAUCGUUGUUGUCCUAAUGCAGUAAAAGAGAGCAGGGGCGAGAGAGUAGGAUUGUAUCGGAAUGAACAAGGGGGUUUUGCUUGCCUGCCACUUCUGAAGAUAACAUUGGGUCUUCAUCAGUGUCAACGAUCACAUCGUCGGUAUCACGUCUAUCGAGAGGGAACAGAUACCGGCAACAAAGAAGAAAUACAAUCAAUGCAAUGCACAAUAUGAUGCAUGCUCAUGACAUGGCAAUAUGAAUGUGUUUUGAGCUAAUGCAACUAGCAACAGAUUAAAUGAAGUUGGUUUGAAUACAAGAUUCAAAUUCAAACUCCAUAUGUGAUUAUUCAAAUGCCAUUUAAUUGAUUUGUGCUAAACAGCAGCUAUAAGUUGUUCUAACAUGCAUGAAAAUGGUACAGAUGGAAUCCUUGAAUUUUUCUGAUAAUUUUUCAUAUAUAAAUUAUUUAAUUUGGAGUUACGGUUGAAUUUCUAUGAUUUUUAGAAGUUUUAGGCAUUUUCUGGAAUUUCCUGAAUAUUAAUAAAUCCAGAAAAUGAUUUAACUGCGUCAGCCUGAAGCCAGCAUGACGUCAGCGAGUCAACGGCCAGGUCCAGGUCAAACCUGACGUGUGGGGUCCACACGUCAGUGACACAGGUUAGACAGGGGGGUUAGUUUAGUUUAAUUAAAGAUUAGGGGCACUAGGGCCCACAUGUCAGUGGCUCUAGGCCUGGGUUAGCGGGGUGGUUAGGCCCUAAUGACCGGCCACGUCAGCUCUCGCCGGAGUUUAGCCGGCGACGACCACAAAGCACGGCGGGGGACGCCGGACUUGCGCUAGGGGCAUCGGAUCGACGCGCCAAGGGCACCAGGAGGUAGCCCGUGCCCGUGCGCAUCUAGGGGGACCAACGGGAGGUGCGGGGGUGGCCGGGGUUCGCCAGAGUGGAGCCCGAGGCGGCGGCCGGAGCUCGGGGUUGGGGCGAGUUAGUGCUACGGUGCGCAAACGAGCGAGGUGAGAGGCUAGCGGGGCGCUACGCGGUGCGGGGAGCGAGUUAGGCAUGCCAGGGUGACCAAAUGGUCACCGGAGCUACGCCGGCGACGAGCUCAGGCGGCGGCGUGCUACGGCCAGCUAUGAAAUGGCGGCUACGGCGAGCGGCAAGCCACGGGGUUAGGGGCAAAACGUGCAGGAGCUCACGGUGGUUCGGAUGGGGUAGAUGACGAGCUCGGGGAAGCGGAGACGGCGGCGAAUCGACGGUGAAGAUCCUCGGCGGCCGGCGAUGGAAACGGCGAUGGUGGCGGCGUUGCAGCGUGUCCGGGACCUUGUGGCUCGGUGGAGAGAAAGAGGGGGUCGAGGCGGAGCCUUGGAGCGCAUCGGCGAGGCUAGGGGGUGGCGGUGGCCGCGAGGGAGCUCGUCGGUGGCGGCGGCUCCGUUCGGGCGAGUGAGAGAGAGGUCCAGGGGAGAGGAUGAGGACGCGGGAGAGUGAGGGAGAGAGACAGGGAGGUGCGUGGCGUCUCCGGGGCGUCGAGGAGGAAGCAGGAGGUGGCCAGGGGAAGCAGGAGGUGGCCGAGGCCUCUCGGGCGCGCGCCACGCCUCGCCUCUGCCUACUGGAAGANNNNNNNNNNNNNNNNNNNNNNNNNNNNNNNNNNNNNNNNNNNNNNNNNNNNNNNNNNNNNNNNNNNNNNNNNNNNNNNNNNNNNNNNNNNNNNNNNNNNNNNNNNNNNNNNNNNNNNNNNNNNNNNNNNNNNNNNNNNNNNNNNNNNNNNNNNNNNNNNNNNNNNNNNNNNNNNNNNUGGGCCGUGCUGGGCCAGGUAAGUGGGCGCCAGGUAACUUCCUUCUCUCUCUCUCUCUUUUAUUUCUUUUCUAUUUCUGUUAUUUUGUUUUUGAUUUGAUUUAAAAUACCAAAUCAUUUAAUAAAAUCCUGGAAACAAUUAUGGGUGCUUUCUGAAUUAUUUCAGUGACCCUUAACAAUUUCCAACAUUUAUUUGAACAUUUAAAUUAUUUAUAGUAUUUAAAUGCCCAAAGUCAAAUACAAUAUGAUUUAAUUCAAAAAUCCAAAAAUGACCUAAGAAUAUAUUCAUCAUUUUUGGCAGAGGUUUCCACCUUAACCAGAAAUCAUGAACUUUUCUUAGGAACCUUUUGGGUUUAUUGAAAAGAUUUUAAUUCACCCUAGUUGAGUUGAUUUAAUGCUAGGGUUUGAACAUCCCCAUUUCAAUUUUAGGCAAGAUUUAAACAUGAUGCAACACAUGACUAGCUAGCUCAGAGCAAACCAGAAGCUAGGGAUGUGACACAGUUGUUUUUAGUUUUCUGCAAUGUUGAUUUGAAAAGCUUUCGAUGUUCUGUUUAUGUAUGCCAGACUUAAGAAAGAAUUUCAUAGUCACAUUUGACAUAUUCAGAUCAAGUUUAUCCCUCGGAUUAUGUUACAUUCAACUCUUCCUCUCUUCAGUGAAUAAAUUUUGACAUAUCUUAACAAGACUUUUUUGUCAUCUUUUAGCUAGUGUGAUGAGAUUUUGGCACCUGUACAUUCCUUGUACCAACUUAGGCAAAUAAUAAUUUAUUUGUUUUUGUGAAAGUUGAUUGAGCACAUCUUCUAGACUCUUGUGAAUACAUCUGGGACAAUGGUUCACAUCAGUUAGGUAUAUACUGCUUCCGUUUCGAGUGAAAUCCUCUCCCAUAGCCCCUGCCCUAGAUGAAAUGAGCUAUAUAUGUGUAUGAUGAUCCUCCUUUCCUAAAAGUGAGAUUGCCAUAUGUAGUUCAGAAUUGACCUAUCAUGCUUAAUUUACACAGCAUCUAAUCAUGAGCUUACGAAGCUGCUGUUUUGGAGUUGUGUGCCGCAAUAUGAGUAGUAAAUUUGUGAACCUGCUAUGUAAUGUUUAGGUUCCAGCAAGGAAAUUUGUGCGCCGCUAUCCUGAACCUCCUCUGCUUUCUCUGAAACAGGGUUACCAUGUGAAGAAAAAAGAUAUGUGGGAGCUUUUGAAUGGACAAAGGCUUAAGCAAGGAAGAGAAGACAGCUGCAUUUCCUUACUUGCAAUUCUAGUAACUAUCUUUGUUAUAACUUGCAGAGUGUACCUGCAAAAGAAAACUUGUAGAGUGUGAUGGAUUAAUUAGGAUGCUAUGUAAUCAGAGUACGUACCCUAUCAUAUGUAUCAUGACUGAUUGCGACCAGGGUCUGCAUUCUAUGAAGAAGGCACCCAUUUAUAUGUUUAUUAGUGACAUUGUGUUGUGCUUGCUCUACUACUUCUGUACAUUAUUUGUGGAAUUGGUCUUGUUGUUCACCAUUGCUGAAAAUCUGUUUCAGUUAGCGUGCCCUUAUGUAGCACUAUUUCAAAUGGAGUUGGUCGAGUCCUCCUGCUCAUUUUUUAUGCCAACGAACAUUGUUGUCG
rnacentral:lncRNA from 1 species